CCGGCGGCCCCCUCCCUCCCUCGCCGGCUCUCCAGCUGGAGCCGCGAGCGAGUGCGGCGCGGCGGGCACGGGGAGAGCGCUGCGCCUUGGAGGGCUGCCCGCAACCACGUCGGGACCCACAACAAAGUUAAAACGCUGCGAUUCACGCACCUUACCGGCUUUCCUCUGCGUCUCCUCGGGCGCGGGAUGCAAAGUGGCACAGUGGCGGGCUGGGGGGCCCCCCGGGAGGAGACUGGAGAUGGGUUUGGUGGCUCGCCUUUUUCACUCUAAAACAAUCUGCCCUCCACUUCAAGGAGCGAUAAAAUGAAAUGGCAGGAGGGGAAGGAGGCAGGGAGAAGGAGACUAUCUCUAGAUCUUGAUGGAGCUCGCGUCUAUAAAUAUGCAUUCGUGUUUAGUCAAGUCCCCUUUGUCAACUUCUUCCCUGCGCUGGAACCUCACCCGCUGUCCUGGAAGCAUCACCUGGGCCCCUUGGCGCCCCCCACUCCCGUUUGCACGCGGGAAAGCCGGCGCGGAGGGCGCGCGUGGGGGUCUGCGGCUGUCCGCGGAACCUUCUGGGAGGCGAGCCGCCGUCCGCCCAGCGCCGAGGCUGGAGCGGCGAGUGGUUUGGUUUUUAAAGCGACCACUGCUCCCCCGAAGAGCCGCUCUGCGCCCGCGGGUCCCCGCCGACGGCACUCCGCACCCACCUACUCCUUGACCGGUGGGGAGGUGGGUGAGGGGGAGAAAAGUUUUGAGGCGCUCUCAUCUCUGCCUCUGGGGUGGUUGAAGUGGUUUGGUUUUGUGUGCCUAAAGCCCCAAAUCCCAAUGCCCAAGAACCGGAGAUUGAUGUUUAGAGGGGUCUCAACAAGGCUUGGCGGCUGGGCUUUGACUGCUAAGUCUGCGACCGUGGAGACGGCGCAGGAAGGCGAGAACAAGCCUCCCCGGAGUCUCAUACCCAUAGGAAGAAACUCCGAAGACGCGCCUCCACGGACUGAGCCGCGUCCCUCGGCACCCCCAGCAUUUCCCAGAGAGCAACACCACCACCCGGAGAUCAAUGACCAGCCUGUUUAUUCUUCACGCGCCUGGAAGGGCAGGGCACCGAAGGAGCAAGGGAGGGAGGCUUGGGGCUCGCCUGUGCGCGAUCUCUCGCAGACUUUUUUUCUAGCUGGUUUCUAAACGGCAGCGAACAAGCAAAGAGUGUUCCUUAAUGCACGCAACACAUACCAAUCACAAUAUAUUAGCCUAAAAAAGUGAGACAUCCUCUCUCCCCCCUUCCACCCUUUGUAGAUUUGUCUCUGGAGGUGGGUUGCUAAUACCUGAGAUUUUUGCACUUGUCUAGGGCGGGAACUUUCUGGGGUGUUUGACAAUUGAUUAUUUGGUACCUGCUUUCUAAAAAUGGCUAAACACCUUUCCUUAGAACUAAAAGUGAGAAAUGCAAAUCUUAAUAACUCAAGGCAAAAAUUGCCAAGUGUAAGCAAGGUUAUAAUCCACUCCCACAAAGAAAAACUUCCUCUUCCACAAAUAUUUGAUAGCAUAGAGCCCAGUAAUUAAGAGAACAAUCAAAUAAACUCAAGGCUUUCAUGGGGACUCUAAAUUAUCAUCUGCCUAGAAUUUUUAAGCAGUGUUAAUCACUUGCCAACUUGAAUAGAGCUAGAGCUAUAUAGCAUUCUAAAUGUGUAUCCUUAACAAUUUUACUAUGUUUUCUUAACUAUUUAAUGAGAGAGACCACGGAUAAUAAUAAUAUUCAAAUUGCUGGAUCAAUGUGGUCUCACCAACUGUGUGAAAAAAUUCUCUGCCUGUGUGUAUAAAACAUCUUGCUGUAUGUUCUCCUCACAUUGACUGUAUCACACAGGCUUCAGGUCUUGAAGCACUUGCUUAGUAAGAAUAUAAGAAUUCCUAAGAAUGCACCAAUAAUUGCACUGUGCACCUGGAAUUUAAGUGUAAUUUUAUUCCAAAGAGUUCUUGGCAUUUAUUAAAUGAUUUAUUCUCAUAGUACAUAUGUAGUUGGUUUUCACAGUUAGCUUUCACUACUGGGGUCCUUAUAUAACCUGCAAGAAGCAGAUCAGGCCAACUGCACACACACACAAAAAAACAAGCUCCUCCCCUCACUACCCAUUAUAUGAAAAUAAGUAACAUUUGACAGGGGGCUGUUGUUUACAGUGAACUUUUACUUCCUCUUGGCCCAUACUCAGUGUAAACAAAGGGACAGAGUGAGUUCUUUUCCCCUAGCUCUCUAUCCAGUGAGUAACAAGUGUGCCUGUCUGGCCUAACCCAACCAAGCAGAACAGAGCCGCCUUCUCAGGGUUUCAGUGUAGCAGCUCCUGGGACCCUUGGGUUUCCUACUUGAAGGAGAUGAGAGCCUUGGGCAGAAGGAAGAAGGCGCUCUCAAGCUGCCUGGUGAGAUAUUGGUGAAACUUGAAUUACACCAACCUCUUCUUUUCUUUUCUUUUCUUUUUUUUGCUCCUGCAGGCAACAGAACUUCCAACCAUUUAUGGUUAUUGAAACCACAUGGCCUUAAGAC
ensembl:lncRNA